rnacentral:rRNA from 1 species
UGGUGGGUAGUUUGACUGGGGCGGUCUCCUCCCAAAGCGUAACGGAGGAGCACGAAGGUUAGCUAAUCCUGGUCGGACAUCAGGAGGUUAGUGCAAUGGCAUAAGCUAGCUUGACUGCGAGCGUGACGGCGCGAGCAGGUGCGAAAGCAGGUCAUAGUGAUCCGGUGGUUCUGAAUGGAAGGGCCAUCGCUCAACGGAUAAAAGGUACUCCGGGGAUAACAGGCUGAUACCGCCCAAGAGUUCAUAUCGACGGCGGUGUUUGGCACCUCGAUGUCGGCUCAUCACAUCCUGGGGCUGAAGUAGGUCCCAAGGGUAUGGCUGUUCGCCAUUUAAAGUGGUACGCGAGCUGGGUUUAGAACGUCGUGAGACA